AUUGAACGCUGGCGGCAUGCCUAACACAUGCAAGUCGAGCGAGCGGCGGACGGGUGAGUAAUGUAUGGGGACUGCCCGAUAGAGGGGGAUAACUACUGGAAACGGUAGCUAAUACCGCAUACUAUCGGAUAACCCAUAUGGGGUUAGCUAGUAGGUGAGGUAAUGGCUCACCUAGGCGACGAUCCCUACCUGGUCUGAGAGGAUGAUCAGCCACACUGGGACGGAGACACGGCCCAGACUCCUGCGAGGCAGCAGUGGGGAAUAUUGCACAAUGGGCGCAAGCCUGAUGCAGCCAUGCCGCGUGAAUGAAGAAGGCCCUAGGGUUGUAAAGUACUUUCAGUCGGGAGGCGUUACCGACAGAAAAAGCAACGGCUAACUCCGUGCCAGCAGCCGCGGUAAUUC
rnacentral:rRNA from 1 species